UUGAGCUCUGAGCUCCCCCGUGUUGUUUGUGUGUUGUUUGUAUAACAUGUCUCCAGGACCUCAAACACUCGUGAACACUGGAUCAUAGCAAGAAGUUGGCUUUCUGUGCCUUGGCUGAUGGAACAAAGACUAUUUACUUUCGGGUUCUUGGGGUAGGGGGUGGGACACUGUUCUUCCUUCUUGGGCCGUCCUUGCCCAGCUACUUUGGAAGACAGUCUAGCAGUUUCUCACAGAACCGAACACUCUUAACCUACGAACUUAAAUCCACACAAAAAACCUGCACAUGGAUGUUGGUAGCAGCUUCGUUCCCAACGACCAAAAACUUGGAAGCCUCUGGAUGUCCUUCAGCAAAGAAGGGGCAGAGGCAGGGGGAGAAGGAGACAGAAUCUUAAGCAGGCUCCACACCCAGAGUGGAGCCUGACACGGGGCUUGAUCCCAUGAUGCUGAGAUCACAACCUGAGCUGAAACCAAGAGUCGGACACUCAACCAACUGAGUCACCCAGGUACCCCAAGACUAGAUCUUUUAAAGUUUUAGGUUUGUAUCAUAACGAAAUUGAGUGGAAGGUACAGAGAUUUCCCAUCUGGCCCCUCCCCCUCAUAAGCACAGCAUCCUCUGUUAUCAACAAUGUGCAUCAGGUAACAUUUGUUACCAGGUAUGAACGUACACUGAUGCAAGCUCAUCGCCCAAAAUCUACAGUUUACCUCGGAAGACUCAGCUCUCCCACUGCUGCCUGUACAUUGCUCAGUGUUGUGUUCAGCUGCAAGUAGUUGAAAACCAGACUUGAGUGACUUCAGCCUAGAGGUAUUAAUUUCUUCACGGAACAGGAAGUUCGGAGACGGGCCCUUGUGUGUUCAGAUCGAACAGCUCCUCCCUAUCACAGCUGGACCCAUAUGCCUGCCAUUCCUUUGGUCUCUCUUUCAUGUUCCAGAUUCCAAGCAUCGCUUCUGCAUCCAAGGGAAAAUGGGACCGGAAGAGGGGAAGAUCCCACCAGCCAGCCCAGUUUCUUUCUGUCCUGGAAGCAAAAGCUGUCCAGAGUUCGCCCCUGUCCUAAGAAGACUUUUGCUUAAGGCUCCCCGCCCAGAACCAGGUCCCACGAGAACUCCCAGUACAACAGGAUCUGUGGGACAGAGGUGGUCUGUGGCCGCAAACAAAAUUGAGACAGCGUUAGCACCAAAAAAGGGGUCGCUGGGCACCGGCGUGCAAGUAACAGUAUUUCUGACGCACGUUGCCAUAACCAAGAGCUGUGUGGCUUGCUACAGGCUUUGACUUUGGGGAUAGAAAGCCCCUGCUUCAGUCAGCGUCCCGCGCAGGGUAGCUUUGAUAAUAACAGCAGCUCUGUUCAUUAUAACAACCUGUCUUGACAUCAGCACUUCCGUGGAGCAGGCAAGAGAAGUCUCCCCACCCCCACUGGAUGGCUGCAAAACCGAGCCUGCAGCACGGGCAGCUGCGUGAACAUGGUCAGCCCAGAACUGGAAUCUGACUCCUACACCUUCAAGCCUGUGUCCAGAGCUGUGAUUGAUUCCAUUUCUGCCUGCUUGGUCCGCACCGCCGGUUGAACCUCUGGCCGAGGUGAGACGAUUUUCCAUACUGAGAAAUGCACAGAGUCAAGCUCCCCUACAAGUUCUCUCUUUUUUUUUUUUUUUUUUUUUUUUUUUAAAUAUUGGGGUUUUCCUGUGGUGGCUGAAGCUUUUCAUGACAUAGAGUUUUGGGAGAAUUAUGAGGGAAUUUCAGACACCAACACCCAUCAAAACCCCUUGCCACCAAACUUUAGCCCGAAUGCCUUCUGUGUGGCCCUGUGAGUAAAACUUGUACAAUGCUUGCAAGAAAAUAAAGGAUGGCUGUGUACCCCUUCCAAGUCAUAUUCAAGCCAAAGGGAUUCAAUUCUCUACAGAAGUGUGUUUCUGGCGUGCCUGGGUGGCUCAGCGGUUGGGUGUCUGCCUUUGGCUCGAGUCAUGAUCCCGGGGUCCUGAGAUCGAGCCCCACAUCGGGCGCCCUGCUCAUUAAUGAAUUGAUGAAUCAGAUGUUGUUGAUACAUGCUUACCCUAUAUUUGCAUAAAAAAUCACAUUUCCAGCUUUUUGAACUUUGCUCUGGCAGUGCCUUGGUCAGCAUUGCCCGCUGAACCUCUCGCCAAAGUCAGAGGACCUCCAGUGCUGAAAAAUGCAUUCUUACAGAGGGAAUCGAACAGGGUUUAGGGCAUUCAGUGAUGUGAAGUCUGCGAAGCAGGAAGAGCCAAAUCCCUCUGGAGGUGUAUGCGCUAUUUAUUUAUUUAUUUAUUAUUUAUUUUAAAGAUUAUAUUUAUUUAUUUGACAGAGAUCACAAGUAGGCAGAGAGGCAGGUAGAGAGAGAGAGGAGGAAGCAGGCUCCCCGCUGAGCAGAGAGCCCGAUGCGGGGCUCGAUCCCGGGACCCUGAGAUCAUGACCUGAGCCAAAGGCAGAGGCUUUAACCCACUGAGCCACCCAGGCGCCCUAUAUAUGCUAUUUAACUUGAUGCUUGCCUUCGGCUGUUCAUAAACACUAUCUAGAAGCUUCCCCCUCACAGUGGGCUGGCAUUGGAUUUCAGAACCAAAACAAUAGAAAAUAAUGCAAAAUGAGAAAGCCCUAUGCAAACAAAUGGAGGAACACAGAAAUUCCAAUUUUAGAAAUGAAAUGGAAUCUGGUGGUGGUGGCCACCCAGAGGCCUCCUUCUUGCUUCCUCAGUCUGUCUCUCCCCGGGAACUUAACUCUCCUUUCCCACCCGGAGUCUAUUGUCAAUGCCACGAGCACUGGACAGAAGCUCGUAGACAAAGAAAAAUCAGCUAUAUUGAGCAUAUUUUAUCCUAAUCGCCAUAGGGAUCAUUUCCUCCUGCAGGGAGGCGGACACAUAUUACAAAGAUACAGAAACCAGCGCCUUUCGAAGGGACACCAACCUCAGACAACCUUUGUGGAGUUCCAGGUUCUAGAAACACACUGCUUGGGAUGGAGUGGUGGUAAUGAUUACAGUUGUGUUUGUUUGUUUAUUUUAACCACCUUGGUGGGGGAGCUGGCAGAGUCUGGAGGAAAGAGAAAAGUAUUGGAGAAAUAAACAAAUUAGGUUCUGCUAUUUAUCUACUGUGUGUCUGUGUCUGUGUGUGUGUCUGUGAGUGAGAGAGAGAGAGAGAAAGGGCUCUUGUUUGAGGUUAUUUUUCAGUUUCAGCACUUCUCCUGAGACUUAAGCAGAGAUCACAGAUCCCAUGUGCCUUGUUAGUAAAUUUGUUAUAAAUAGAAUAACCACCCAGACCGCAUUAUCACGAGUUCCUAUAGUCCCUGACCACAUGUUUCCACUGCUAAGGCGGUCACGUGUGGGGAGGUCGGGGGCAUGGGAACAGUUGGUUUAACUACACCAGUGGUAUUCCUCCCCACCACCUCCAAGAAAAACACCGAACCAGUGGGAUUCCCAGGAUGAUUUCCAUCCAGUGGAUCAUCACCGAAAAGAGCUCUGAGUUGUAUUAUGGCCACUAAACGCAACUUCCAAAAGCCAUAAUUAAGAGAGCACAAGCAGGGGGAGCUGCAGACAGAGGGAGAAGCAGACUCCUUGCUGAGCAGGGAGCCCGAUGUGGGGAUCGAUCUUAGAACCCUGGGAUUGUGACCUGGCCUGAAGGCAGAUGCUUACAGACUGAGCCACCCAAACGCCCCUGUAAUUUUAUCUUAAAACAAUAUUAGACUGACCAGACAUCACUCCUUCCAGAGGACCGACACUCCCUACUGCCGCCCCCCACGAGGAAGAAAAUCACCAAGGGCUGAUAGAUCAACAUGACCCAGAAACCAGGUUGUUUGGAGGCCGCCCUACUCCGCCAAAUGUCCUAGCAGCACAGUAAAAGGGUCAAAACAAAACUCUGUGUUAUUAUUGAAGGCUUCUCUACUCUAAUUGCAUUUGUAGUUCAAGGAAUUCUUCAUGGUGCCUCUAAAUUUUCUAAAGAAGCCACAGAGCUUAACACUUCUUUCAAGGAUAGGGAGCAAAAGUCCUUUGUAAGUUUCCUUCCAGACAAAAGGCGACUGUGCCUUUCUGUGCAUUUGGUUUCUUACACUCCGUGAUCCCUAUAUUUGGUUUUCCUUAGCAAUUCUAUGGAUCUACACCGAGCCAUGGAAUGGUUCUUUCAUUGUGAACUUUUCACACAGCAUAUUUUUAUUUUUCACUUUCAAAAAUGAUCUAAGACACUGGCUGCAUUCAGAAACGUGUGCCAGGCCCCAUCUUCUCUUCUCCUUGAGCUAGUUCAUCCUGCUAUUGUA